GACGAACGCUGGCGGCGUGCUUAACACAUGCAAGUCGAACGGAAAGGCCCUGCUUUUGUGGGGUGCUCGAGUGGCGAACGGGUGAGUAACACGUGAGUAACCUGCCCUUGACUUUGGGAUAACUUCAGGAAACUGGGGCUAAUACCGGAUAGGAGCUCCUGCUGCAUGGUGGGGGUUGGAAAGUUUCGGCGGUUGGGGAUGGACUCGCGGCUUAUCCGCUUGUUGGUGGGGUAGUGGCUUACCAAGGCUUUGACGGGUAGCCGGCCUGGGCGGGUGACCGGCCACAUUGGGACUGAGGUACGGCCCAGACUCCUACGGGAGGCAGAAGUGGGGAAUAUUGCACAAUGGGCGGAAGCCUGAUGCAGCAACGCCGCGUGCGGGAUGACGGCCUUCGGGUUGUAAACCGCUUUCGCCUGUGACGAAGCGUGAGUGACGGUAAUGGGUAAAGAAGCACCGGCUAACUACGUG
rnacentral:rRNA from 1 species